rnacentral:rRNA from 1 species
CCUAAGGUAGCGAAAUUCCUUGUCGGGUAAGUUCCGACCUGCACGAAUGGCGUAAUGAUGGCCAGGCUGUCUCCACCCGAGACUCAGUGAAAUUGAACUCGCUGUGAAGAUGCAGUGUACCCGCGGCAAGACGGAAAGACCCCGUGAACCUUUACUAUAGCUUGACACUGAACAUUGAGCCUUGAUGUGUAGGAUAGGUGGGAGGCUUUGAAGUGUGGACGCCAGUCUGCAUGGAGCCGGCCUUGAAAUACCACCCUUUAAUGUUUGAUGUUCUAACGUUGGCCCCUGAUCGGGGUUGCGGACAGUGUCUGGUGGGUAGUUUGACUGGGGCGGUCUCCUCCUAAAGAGUAACGGAGGAGCACGAAGGUUGGCUAAUCCUGGUCGGACAUCAGGAGGUUAGUGCAAUGGCAUAAGCCAGCUUGACUGCGAGCGUGACGGCGCGAGCAGGUGCGAAAGCAGGUCAUAGUGAUCCGGUGGUUCUGAAUGGAAGGGCCAUCGCUCAACGGAUAAAAGGUACUCCGGGGAUAACAGGCUGAUACCGCCCAAGAGUUCAUAUCGACGGCGGUGUUUGGCACCUCGAUGUCGGCUCAUCACAUCCUGGGGCUGAAGUAGGUCCCAAGGGUAUGGCUGUUCGCCAUUUAAAGUGGUACGCGAGCUGGGUUUAGAACGUCGUGAGACAGUUCGGUCCCUAUCUGCCGUGGGCGCUGGAGAACUGAGGGGGGCUGCUCCUAGUACGAGAGGACCGGAGUGGACGCAUCACUGGUGUUCGGGUUGUCAUGCCAAUGGCACUGCCCGGUAGCUAAAUGCGGAAGAGAUAAGUGCUGAAAGCAUCUAAGCACGAAACUUGCCCCGAGAUGAGUUCUCCCUGACUCCUUGAGAGUCCUGAAGGAACGUUGAAGACGACGACGUUGAUAGGCCGGGUGUGUAAGCGCAGCGAUGCGUUGAGCUAACCGGUACUAAUGAACCGUGAGGCUUAACCUU